ACGGAAGGCAGCAGUGGGGAAUAUUGGACAAUGGGGGAAACCCUGAUCCAGCGACGCCGCGUGAGUGAAGAAGUAUUUCGGUAUGUAAAGCUCUAUCAGCAAGGAAGAAAAUGACGGUACUUGACUAAGAAGCUCCGGCUAAAUACGUGCCAGCAGCCGCGGUAAUACGUAUGGAGCAAGCGUUAUCCGGAUUUACUGGGUGUAAAGGGAGCGUAGACGGCAAAGCAAGUCUGAAGUGAAAUCCCGGGGCUCAACCCCGGAACUGGUUUGGAAACUGUUUAGCUAGAGUGCAGGAGAGGUAAGCGGAAUUCCUAGUGUAGCGGUGAAAUGCGUAGAUAUUAGGAGGAACACCAGUGGCGAAGGCGGCUUACUGGACUGUAACUGACGUUGAGGCUCGAAAGCGUGGGGAGCGAACAGGAUUAGAUACCCUGGUA
rnacentral:rRNA from 1 species